CGGGGACCCGCACAAGCGGUGGAUGAUGUGGAUUAAUCGAUGCAACGCGAAAACCUUACCUACCCUUGACAUGUCCGGAAUCCCGAAGAGAUUUGGGAGUGCUCGCAAGAGAGCCGGAACACAGGUGCUGCAUGGCUGUCGUCAGCUCGUGUCGUGAGAUGUUGGGUUAAGUCCCGCAACGAGCGCAACCCUUGUCAUUAGUUGCCAUCAUUUGGUUGGGCACUCUAAUGAGACUGCCGGUGACAAACCGGAGGAAGGUGGGGAUGACGUCAAGUCCUCAUGGCCCUUAUAGGUGGGGCUACACACGUCAUACAAUGGCCGGUACAGAGGGUAGCCAACCCGCGAGGGGGAGCCAAUCCCACAAAGCCGGUCGUAGUCCGGAUCGCAGUCUGCAACUCGACUGCGUGAAGUCGGAAUCGCUAGUAAUCGCGGAUCAGCAUGUCGCGGUGAAUACGUUCCCGGGUCUU
rnacentral:rRNA from 1 species